UUCUUCCUGGUUUAACCGUACUUGCUGAUUCAGAAUUCCCAAGUUAGCAACCCAAUCUGCUAGUCGGUGAACCUCCAGAUAAACUCUGUAGUUUCGAAAGCUAACAGCCCCUGGCCUGCAGACUGUGUUUCUUAGACUAUGCAGAAGGGGAAAGCGAGGACUAGAGAAACCGUAUCAGCAAAAACAGUCUAUGCGAGAGGCUACCCAUUCUGCUUUUAUGGGAAAGCAGUGAGCUCUUAAUUGCCAGAGCAGGGACGUGUGUUCCAGAAGGAAAUCCUCAGAAAACAUACUUACUACAUGACAGAGUUUCUGACCACAUGGCAAUCUCGGGAUUUAAAGGCACGCUGAAGCUGAAACCCUUAAAAACACCUGUCUUUUACAAGAGGUAGGUAGUAAUUCCAUUUCCCCAGCCUUCCGUAACGCUUACAACUUCUUCACCAAGGACAGAACCGGCUGUAUUGAUUCACACGGAUUGAUGAGCACUGUAGCAAAACUGGGAAUGAAUCUAAACGCAUACGAUAUCUACAAUGAAUUAAAAUGUGCCGAUCGUGACAGGGAUGGUAAGAUCAACUUCUCAGAUUUUAUAGAUGUGCUGACAGAUAAGAAACUCUUCCUCAAAGCUGUGG
rnacentral:lncRNA from 1 species